AUUUUAGUCAACGGUAUACGAUGUUGUAGACAUAUAUUUUAUAUUUUUAUUUAUGUUAGUGAGAGUAAGUGUGUAGUUUUUGUAUUUAGAUGAGGUCUAAUGAUGCCCUAAUGCGGCGAAACGCGUAACCCUUUAAAUAGACGCUUAAUUUGUGAGACUUUGACUUUGAGUAUACUUUCUCUUCCUUUGGUCCUCUCUUUAAGAGUUAAUUAGAAAAAGUUAACUUCAGCCUAAAAAAUGUUGCCUUAUAGUCUUGUAUCAGAUGAGAAUUUGAUUCCUAUAUUAAGAAAUUAUGGUUUUAUAUCAAAAAUAUUCUUCGCUUAUUCAGACGUCAGUGAUUUCUGGCUGGCAAUAUUGCAGUGAUAAAUAUUAGAGGUUGAGGUUCUUUAGAAGUAUUCGUGCAAAAAGGACAUAUGUUACUUAAAUUUCUAUAAAAAUUCAUCAGUGUUUACACCUGAUAAUGUUAAAUAUUACCUAUUAUAUACAAAUCAAUCCUACUGAAUAAUUAAUCCAAAACGAUUAUUUUCGAAAUUACAAUUCAUAUUGAAUGCUAAUGAAGGAAAUUACCCGUCAUUUAGCUUUUGAAUCAUAACCAAACCACAACGAGCUCUCGAUGGCGUAUUUAAAAAAAUAUUUUUGGGAAUAUCCCAAAGAGUUUUUCAAAAUGGUUUAUCUAAUUUUUUGGAGAACUCCUUCGCUGCACUUGGAAAAUCCGAAAUAUUGGACAACAGAGAUGCCGCAGAUGGAAAGGAAGUUAAAAAGGACUGUGAGAUUGACAAGAGAUGGAAUAGAAAGGGUUAAAUAUAUAAGAACGUAGUGUAAAAAACUAUAUAGAAAAAAAUAUACUUUUUUGUGUUUAAAGUAA